UACAGAGGUCUCAAGCGUUGUUCGGAUUCAUUGGGCGUAAAGGGUGCGUAGGUGGCGGGGUAAGUCAGGUGUGAAAUUUCGGAGCUUAACUCCGAAACUGCAUUUGAUACUGCCUUGCUUGAGGACUGGAGAGGAGACUGGAAUUCACGGUGUAGCAGUGAAAUGCGUAGAUAUCGUGAGGAAGACCAGUGGCGAAGGCGGGUCUCUGGACAGUUCCUGACACUGAGGCACGAAGGCCAGGGGAGCGAACGGG
rnacentral:rRNA from 1 species